rnacentral:rRNA from 1 species
CUACGGGCUGCAGCAGUGGGGAAUAUUGGACAAUGGGCGAAAGCCUGAUCCAGCAAUGCCGCGUGUGUGAUGAAGGCCUGCGGGUUGUAAAGCACUUUCAGUGGGGAAGAAAUGCUCAAGGCUAAUACCCUUGAGAGUUGACAUUACCCACAGAAGAAGCACCGGCUAACUCUGUGCCAGCAGCCGCGGUAAUACAGAGGGUGCAAGCGUUAAUCGGAGUUACUGGGCGUAAAGGGCGCGUAGGCGGAUAUUUAAGUCGAUUGUGAAAUACCCGGGCUUAACCUGGGAACUGCAGUGGAUACUUGAUAUCUAGAGUAUGGGAGAGGAAAGCGGAAUUCCCGGUGUAGCGAUAAAAUGCGUAGAUAUCGGGAGGAACACCAGUGCGAAGGCGGCUUUCUGGACCAAUACUGACGCUGAGGCGCGAAAGCGUGGGGAGCAAACAGGAUUAGAUACCCCCGUAGUC